UCCGCGGUAGCUCAAUGGUGGAGCAAGAAGCUGUUAACUUCAAGGUUGCAGGUUCGAGUCCUGCCCGCGGAGCCG
rnacentral:tRNA from 3 species